CCUACGGGAGGCAGCAGUGAGGAAUAUUGGGCAAUGGACGAGAGUCUGAACCAGCCAAGUAGCGUGAAGGAGGACUGCCCUAUGGGUUGUAAACUUAUGUUAUAGGGGAAUAAAAUGUGCCACGUGUGGGAGUUUGUAUGUACCAUAUGAAUAAGGAUCGGCUAACUCCGUGCCAGCAGCCGCGGUAAUACGGAGGAUCCGAGCGUUAUCCGGAUUUAUUGGGUUUAAAGGGAGCGUAGGUGGAUUGUGAAGUCAGUUGGGAAAGUUUGCGGCUCAACCGUAAAAUUGCAGUUGAAACUGGCAGUCUUGAGUACAGUAGAGUUGGGCGUACUUCGUGUUGUAGCGG
rnacentral:rRNA from 1 species